AAGAGAGCAAUCCUGCUGCUGAUCUAACACCUGUUACACUCCCAAAUAUCUUAUUGAAAAAAAAUGUAACGCCUAGGAUGGAUUUUUUUGCUUUUACUGGCCAUGAGCACAAAUCAUAUUAAGCAUGUCCUGGAGUCUGGAGCCAGCCUCCCAUACAUAUCACACUUUCUUAAUGGUCUUUGUGGAUAUCCAGAAUGAGAAAGAUGGGAGAAAUAUCAUCAAAACCAGCCUCUGUACAGAGCUCCUCUCUUCCUACAGCUUUGGGCAGGAGAGAAAAUUUUGAUAUCCAAUUAUUUUACAAGCCAAAUGUUAAAGAGGCAACCCAAUCACCUGAUGCCUUCAGUUAGCGAUGAAGGAGCAUGCUAAGACAUCCUUAUCACCUUUCAGUUGAUCACAGGGGUUUUCUAGAUCCAACUAGGACUUUGUACCGCUGCUGGGAGCACUGCUACUUCUGCACCUCCUUUGCUGUGGAGGUGUCACCCUGCCUCUACCACUGAACCCUGGCCAAGGGCAUUGGAGCCAAGGCUGUCUGCCAGUUUUCCACCACAGCUUACUGUGUGACCCAUGAUGGAGAAUUUUGGGGGUGCAUAUGGGGGCAGACUGGUGGUGUAUCCCUCCCUUCUUCCCUCCUCACUUUUCUGCUUUCUUAAAUAAAAAUUAAGAAUGGUGGUCUUAAGCAGACACCUAGAGAAGAGCAAAAA